CGACGCGGUGACGCGGGACAUCAACUACCUAAAGAACCAAGAGAAAGAACCCACCCCACCCAACCCACCCCGGCGUCCACCUGACAACCCCCGGGGGUUCGUCACUCACACGGGUGAGGUUUGCCAACUGGGCUGGAUUUCGUACCGGUUGGCAGGCAUAUGCUCACGCCACCAGACCACACACAUACGUCGGCCCCCGGCCGGGACAGCCAUCCCGAUCGAGGGCCUGACCACCAAGGAAGCAGAACCCCUUCCCG
rnacentral:ncRNA from 1 species